rnacentral:tRNA from 1 species
GCCUUCGUGGUGUAGCGGUGAAUACGACGCGUAUUCGAGAAGUCCGUGGUUCGAGUCCCGGCGAGGGCA